GUAAGGUUAUUGCAUGCAGUAAAUGUCGACCAAUCGCCUCUACCUGCUUGAAGUUGGGCCUUCUCUUAACGAUGGGCAAGUCGAGGUCCAGCCGGGCAAGUCCAUCCCAGCCCCCCCUCCUCCUCCCGCCCCCUGUCACCGGUCAAUGACGUCAUUCAUCAAAACCACUGAAUGCUGGGCUUAGCGCCACUGAAAUGGGACCUGAUUGUUUGUUAAAGAUGAAGCCAAACGUGCUGCUGAUUUACAAGCUCCUCGAAUUGGAAAAUGGCCGAAAAACACUUGACCGAGGACUUCGCAGCUUCACUAACCGGGCCAAUGAAGAGGUUCAACGUUUCCUGAACGGGUCCCUUUCGACCUAUCAGUACGAUGAACUAUCGACGAUCUUGGACGCCAAGUGCCGAACUUUAAACAAUCUCCUCACUACAUUACAACACGCCACAAGUGAUCAACAAUUCUGUGCCGAGGCCCCUGCAGACAACGGAGACAUAACAAACCAGCUAUAUCUAUUUCCAGACAAAGUCGUUUUGACAACAGAUGUUCUUAAGUUUGGUCCCAUUUUAAGCAAUGUCCUUUUGGCGAGCUCCAUAACCAAGGCGAUCCAGGUGCUUGGAGCAACGCUCUCUUUUCAAUGUCUAAAGCAGCUCCUAGACCCUAAAGCUGUCAACGAUGACGUGUUCGAUAGCAUCCAGCCCAGCCAAAACACUGAUGCUGGACCUGCCGAUCACUCUUCUGAUUUUAAAAUUGAAGGCAAUGAGCUUGUUGUGUUCAAGGAGAAACCCCAAGUGAGGGUAGUGGUUGAACCUCCUCUAAUUAUCAUGUGUCAAAAGGGUUCCCUAGAGAUACUUCCAACAAAACCAGUGUCCCAGAAAACCAGCGAUCCUCAACCAACAAAUAUUCUUAUGAACGCACAGUUCCCCUUCUGGGAACUUGAACACGAAGUCCCGAUACAACACAAGAAACAAACAUCUGAACAGCUAUUGACCUUCCUGCGGACGCACAAGGAAAGUGCCAGCGCGAAGCGGGACAAUUUGGCCUGGUUCAGACGCUAUUUCCAUCCUCCGUCAACAACACCUUCAAAGAUAACAAAACAGAGUAGCUUUAAAGAUGGUGGAAGUAGAAGUAUGACCGACAACACCAGGUGCAUCGAAUCCCCGCCAAAGGAGACGGCGUUGGCUGAAGAGGACUCCCGACCUCCCGUGUUCAGGUUGAAGCGCGUGGAGCCUGGAGGAGUUAUUAUCUACUCCUGCAUGGUCCUCACCGAGACGGAACUGUGGGACAUGGGAGAAGUGGUCACACCACUCGGACCCGUUGAACAAGUGGAAACCCAGGACGGACAGCAAAACAAAGGGGUGGACAACAGUCACCGUGAGGUCUCUGCUGCUGAGGAACCGGGGGAGAAACCACAGAGUCCCCUGUGUACAAACACCACAUGCGGUUUUACCCCAGCCGAGUCGCCACUCCCGAACAGUACCGCCAGCAUCCCCGAGUUUGUGAUCGUUGCGUUCAAGGAGAUGGAGGUUGUGGUUUCCCAUGUGGUGUCCCCUGGACACUUCUACAUCCAGCGUCCAGACGUGUUGGCCAAGCAGCAGGCCCUGGUCAGCGGCUGGAAAGGCCGCUCGUUUGCGGAGGAAAACAGCGUGCCAGACAUCGGGACCCUGGUAAUGGCUUUCUUCUCGGAGCAGAAGCAGUGGUGCAGGGCCCAAGUCCUGAGGAUAUGUGGCGUUGGUGGAGACGAUCAGCCCGGUGAGGGCACCGGUGGCAGUGGGACCAACAUCAGCGUACAGGUGUUCCGGCUGGACCACGGAGACAAGGCCACCGUCUCCUUGCGCAACGUGGGCCCCCUGACACCGGACAUGGCGGCCCUGCCCCUGCAGGCCGCAAUGGUCUCGCUGGCCGAUGUGUCCGCGCUGGACGGGGUCCACUGGACGGAGGAGGCGGUGUCCUGGUUCAGAGCCAUGGUGGAGCACCGCACGCUGUACGCCCGGCUGUUCCCCCUCCGGUCGGCCGUCACCGUGCAUCUCUUCCUGGAGAGGGGCGCCAUGGGCGCCAUGAGGAGAGGAGCAUCGCUCUCUUUGAGGUUAGCACAGAAUGGACAUGCGAAACUCAACCAAAUGAAAGCCUUUGCCGCAGUCAAAAGAGGCAAUUUUCUCAUUCUGAAGAAAAGGCAGGAGGCUGACUGGCAGAAAUACCUAAUUGCAUGCUACACAGAAAAAGUUCUGAAAAAAACUUUGUUGGGAGUUGAAGGUUAGUUUUAGUUAUUUUUUGUUGGUGGUUGUUUUGUGUUUUUUAGUUGGUAUUCAACCCACAAUCUUUCUUUACUUUGUAAGGACUUUACAUUGUUAAUUUCUGCAAUUGCAUAGGUUUGGAGUGUUACUUCAAAAGUUUUUUUCAUAGUGGAAGCAUAUAGAAUAUAUUGCCUUCCAACAGAAAGAUGGCCACUCAACUGGACGAAUAACAAAUGCCUGUAUAGUGAUAUGUAAUCAUUAUAAGCUUAAUAUUCCAAUACAAGUGACUUUGUCAAAACUGCUCCAUCAUCACAUUUCUCUGCCAACAGUAAAUAUGUCACGUGUAUACUGGAUUAUUGUUCUGUACAUGUUUACGCAAACACUGAUAUUUCAUUCAAAAAUGUCAAGGCCAACCGACGCCCCCCCUGUGCCAGUUUAUCCAAAGUGACGCAGAACGCUUGUUGCCCUGUGAGCUACUGCAGAUCAUCUGAUAGCGAACAACAAGCCCAUGCUUUGUAUGUCUGUGAUGCUUGGGCCUCUCUGCCGGUGCUGUAUUGCUGUGUUCACCGAUGUACGAUAUGAGCAUACGCAUCUAUACAAGACGACAGCUGCUGCCACCACUGUCAGAUCUUACUUGUGAUGACACCAUAACAAACAAUAACAUCUGUCCGACCAUGUGGCCUUGUAAAAGCUGCCCUGUUGUGAUGUAAAAAUUAGCAUAUUUCUCAAUAUUAAUCUAUUGGAUAAAUGUGUCAUAUCAGUCACCCGUACUACCGGCCUAAGUAUGCUUUAAAGAAAUUGUAAAGUGUGAAUUACAAAAUAAAAAUAACUCAAAAAAAAUGUUUUUA
ensembl:lncRNA